GGCGGCAUAGCCAAGUGGUAAGGCAGAGGUCUGCAAAACCUCCAUUCUCCAGUUCAAAUCUGGAUGCCGCCUCCA
rnacentral:tRNA from 17 species